rnacentral:rRNA from 1 species
CUGUGUGUUAUAUGUGUCCACACGGGACUGCCGGUCUUAAGCCGGAGGAAGGUGGGAUGAUGUCAAGUCAGCAUGGCCUUUAUAUCCUGGGCUACACACACGCUACAAUGGCCAACACAAUAGGUUGCUAAGCCGCGAAGGUGGCGCCAAAUCCAAUAAAGUUGGUCUCAGUUACAGAUUGUAGGCUGCAACCCGCCUGCAUGAAGAUGGAGUUGCUAGUAACCGCAGGUCAGCUAUACUGCGGUGAAUACGUUCCCGGGGCUU